CUCAAGCUGCAGGUACACACACACACUACCUCAAGCUGCAGAGACAAGGAUCCGUUGACUUCUGAGCGGCUCAUCCUGUUACCCACAAUGCAUCGGGCUGAAGAGUCUCCUGUUCCCAUGGCAACAUGCUGUGUCCUGCUGUUGGUGUUUAGAUGAUAUGAUGAUGUAAUAUUAUACUGUUGUUUCAUGUUUCAUUCACCCAAAAAAGUGUGUUGAUGUUGAUGAGAAUAAAUCAUUGAUCAGAAAACUA